AUGUGACUUAGUUAGGGGGCAAAUAUUAAUUGAAAUCUAAUGUUAAUUAGGUUUCUUUCAAAGAUAGGCCUAUUGAAUGGACAAUCUGUUUUCUACUUUCAGAUGUCCCUCAAGCAGCCUUUCACAUUU